rnacentral:rRNA from 1 species
UACGUAGGCAGCGAGCGUUUGUUCGGAAUUACUGGGCGUAAAGAGUGUGUAGGCGGUGCUCUAAGUUCGGUGUGAAAUCUCCUGGCUCAACUGGGAGGGUGCGCCGGAAACUGGAGUGCUUGAGCGUGGGAGAGGAAAGCGGAAUUCCUGGUGUAGCGGUGAAAUGCGUAGAUAUCAGGAGGAACACCUGUGGUGUAGACCGGCUUUCUGGACCAUAGCUGACGCUGAGACACGAAAGCGUGGGUAGCAAACAGG